CGCAGUGUCACUGUGGGAAAGGACGUCGUUCUUGUGUGUAGACAUGAAGGGAACGUGAUAUGGAGUAAAGACAGAGAUGGAACAAGAGUGGACAUUCUCACUGCAGAAACAGAUGGAGAGACAAGAAAACCAAUUCCAGAUCCUCAUAACCGUUAUAUUUUAUUUGAUGAUUUAUCACUACACAUAAAGAGAGUUUCAGCCUCAGACUCUGGACUUUAUUACUGUAAUGCAACUCCAGCUGUGAAUCUGACAGUAACAGAACCAGAUUCAACCACAUCCAACAACAGGCAAGCAGGAGCAACCACACCAAAACCAGAGACAACUACAUCCAGCUACAGUCAACCAGGAGCCACCACACCAACACCAGGUUUCUGCCACAGUCAACCAGAAGGCACAACACCAACACAAGACCCAUCUGCCAAGAAAUCUUUCAAAUAUUUUUGUAUGAAAGAAAUCAAGUAGCCAUUUAGAGGACACUGUAUGCAUCAGAUUUACUACGAAAAAUACGAUGUAAGAAUCAUCUUAUUUGAUCCUGUCUGUGAAAUGCAAGCAAAAGUUUUAAAAUCCUAUAUUUAGAUUAAGAGUUUUAAAGUUUGAUUUCAAUAAUUUAUUUCACAUUUCAAGCAUUGACAUGACCUUGGUCAGUCAAUAUUAAUAUCUAUAGGUUAUGAUUCAUACAAUGUUCUUUGAAUUAUAUAGGAUGAUUUUAUAGAAAACAGUAACUCGCAAAUAAAGACUUUCUAUGGAUUUCACAUCAAAGUGCAAUAAAUGUAUGCAUGUUUUAGGAAAAGCAUUGUUAGGUAAAUGUACUAAUCAAAAUAUAUUCAUUUGCAUUUCUAUGCGUUUGUUUAUCAGUUUCACAGAUCUUGUUCCCUAUUGUUUUUAAAAGAUACAGUUUAACUAAAACUUUUUCUUUUUAAAGAUGUUAUUAUAAGUGGUUAUCAAGUGUUAGCAGGAUCUGUGGUUGUGCUUCUGCUAUUAAACAUGUUUCCUCUUUGCAGGUGCCAUUUUGCUUAUAAACGUAAACAUUUUACACUACAAAAUAUUUUGUGUAUUUGUUAGGUUUUGUGUGUUUAAAUCUACAUUAAUAUUUAA